GGAAACCACGAGCUACAGACUAGAUUUGGAAGAGGAGAGAAUUGUAGCUUCAUGUCCGCACCCAGGAAAAACAUCCCCAGGCAUCCACUGACGAGCGGACGUGGAGAGAUGUCCGAGUUCAGCUGCUCAGUGAGAAAAGCAGGCGACAAACAUUGUGCAGCGGAUGAGGUCAAAUCUGCACAACAACAACAACAUAGAUACACACAGGUCUGGCUGUACAGAGUAAAUCUCUAUCGGAGACAAUUCUAGGGAAAUGCAAGAGGAAGAAAGAGACCAGGAAGCGGUGUGUCUAGCAUCCACUGGUUUGUGCUACUCCAAGCGAUGCAAUGAGCCGAAAGGAAAGCUAAUUCGCAGUCGCCUGCCUGUUCUCGUGAGUCUAGCGUGCAGAGACCACGGAAGA